UUUGAGUCUUGUUUGUUCAUCGGUAUUGUUUCUUGUGUAAUGGAGGUGCUCUUUGAGUCUUGUUUGUUCAUCAGUAUUGUUUCUUGUGUAAUGGAGGUGCUCCCUGAGUCUUGUUUGUUCAUCAGUAUUGUUUCUUGUGUAAUGGAGGUGCUCUCCAAGUCUUGUUUGUUCAUCAGUAUUGUUUCUUGUGUACUGGAGGUGCUCCCUGAGUCUUGUUUGUUCAUCAGUAUUGUUUCUUGUGUACUGGAGGUGCUCCCUGAGUCUUGUUUGUUCAUCAGUAUUGUUUCUUGUGUAAUGGAGGUGCUCUUUGAGUCUUGUUUGUUCAUCAGUAUUGUUUCUUGUGUAAUGGAGGUGCUCUCCGAGUCUUGUUUGUUCAUCAGUAUUGUUUCUUGUGUAAUUGAGGUGCUCCCCAAAUCUUCUUUGUUCAUCAGUACUAUAUCUUGUGUACUGGAAGUGCUCCCUGAGUCUCCUUUGUUCAUCGUUAUUGUUUCUUGUGUACAGGAGGUGCUCUCAGAGUCUUCUUUGUUCAUCAGUACUAUAUCUUGUGUACUGGAAGUGCUCCCUGAGUCUCCUUUGUUCAUUGUUAUUGUUUCUUGUGUACAGGAGGUGCUCUCAGAGUCUUCUUUGUUCAUAAGUAAUAUAUCUUGUGUACUGGAAGUGCUCCCUGAGUCUCCUUUGUUCAUUGUUAUUGUUUCUUGUGUACAGGAGGUGCUCUCAGAGUCUUCUUUGUUCAUCAGUACUAUAUCUUGUGUACUGGAAGUGCUCCCUGAGUCUCCUUUGUUCAUCGUUAUUGUUUCUUGUGUACUGGAGGUGCUCCCCAAGUCUUGUUUAUAUAAAAAAUGUGUUCUUAGAGUUGUGUUAGUUCUUCAGUAUUGUAUUCUUUUGUACUUAUGGUGUAGUUUGACCAAGUUUUUCAUCCAUCAUUAUAUGUAAUUCAAAAUCUUAAUUGAGCUUUAUGGAUGAAAUGGUAUGUUUUUUUUUUAAUCAAAUUUACAGCACAAUUCAAAACACGUCUUUAUUAGUCCCCUACUGACGAUUCUUUUUCUAGUCCGGUUUUAUCAUGACAAGUUACAGAUCAAGUUCGAAUUUUGUUCUGUUCUGAUGAUUUUGUACAGAGUUAUGGUCCUUGGACUUAGAAAAUUCACUCAAAUAAUCAGUUUUCCUCACUUUUUUUUGUCAUGCUUGAAGAUAUUGAUUUGAUAAUUGGUAUAUAGUUUACACCAUGACAACUUAUAGAUCAGGAUAGCAUUUUGUUUCAGUACAAUGAAUUUUUAACUGGUAGAGGACUAUGUAUUGCCAUGCAAUACUCUCAGAAUGCUUGUUUAAAUUGUUUUUGCUAUAUAACACUGAUUUCAAGAGUAACAUACUAAGAAACUGUAACAAAACAAAUAAAUACACAUGUAUAUAUUUAUAAAUAAAAAGUGGUGAUUACAUUUGAUAUUUUUA